rnacentral:lncRNA from 1 species
AUCAAGCCCCGUCUCCCUCUCACAGCUUCUGAGGUCAGCUCUCCGUGAGGAAGACUGUCCAGAGGAAGGCAAGUCCUCCGCCACAGAUCCCUGCAGAAGCAGGUGCCCGUGUUGUUUUCCAAGUUCAAGGUCUUUCUGUGGCUGCAGCCAAGAAGAGGUUCUAGGGAAUCUGAUAAGAAACGGCACUAAUUAACACUAAUUUGCUGGGAGGCUUGUCUGGCACAUUAAAUUAGAAGAAAAAAAUGCACACACAAUUUCAGAAAUAUUUUUGCUGCUGGACUCCCAACUGAACAUCUAAUAUUUCAGUGUGCGAAGAGGAAGUAUGGCCUGGGAGAGCUGUGCUAGGAACAGAUGGGGACCAAGAGAUUCUGCAACACUGGUGCAUCGACCCAAAGCUACACAGCUGCUUGAGCUUCUGCUCACACCUCAGCAGGCCCAUGUGAGGAACAGCAGCCAGAGAGACAGCCCCCACACAAAGCGUAAAGAGUGCAGCUUCCCGAGAGAAGAGGGACCAGCAAGAGGGGCCGAGGCUGUCUGCACUGAACUCUGCAUUCCCUUCCCAGUAAGAAGUCAUGCAAAAUCCAAGCUUGCGUCUCACAAUGGAGUGCUCUGUUAUCCAGUAUGGUAGCUGCAAACGUAAUGCAGCUAUUAAAUUUUUUGCCAACAUCAAAUACAUUUCCAAGGACAGCUCCACGGGACAAGACAGAGCAGCUUUGGACUGCUCUGUGGUUGUUGGAGAGGCAGAUUGCAUUGGAGCCAGUUAGAAAAGCAAGUCCAGCUGCAGAACUUGCAUGGGGGCAAGACCUUUGAGUGAGGACCCAGGGCACCUAAAAGUCUGUGUCCCGCUGGCUGCUCAGUUCCCUGAAGUAACUGUGAGAGAGCGUUAACCUCUGAGCUUAUGGGGGACUCUGAACAAUUUCUCUUCACUUCCCUUCACACUGGCACGUGUGUGCAUGUGUGUGUACAUGCGUGCAUGCAUGUGUGUGUUUCCCCAUCCAUCCUUCCACCCAUCUACCCACCCAUGUGCCUACUUAUACCUGUGGAAGCAUCAUUGUGCACUUUGCCAUGAUGAACAUGGAGAGGUCAUAACACAAGCUUGGGUGUUGGGCCUCAGUGUUCACUUUGUUUGAGUUGGGGUCCCUUGCUCACUGGCCCAGGAGCUGACCUCACCAUGGUAGCACUGCAAUUCCAGAUGCCUGUGUUGCAUCAGGAUCACUUGGAUUCUGGGGAUUCAGACUCCGGUUCUCACUGUUGGGAGGCAAGAGCUUUAUCCACUGAGUCAUCUCCC